AAUCCCAAACCCAACCCAAGAGGAAGAACACAGGAAGCAAACGUCCAUCGGGCAUGGCGAUCCACCACCACAGCCAUGGGUGCCCGCUUGUCCGCCAUGAGCACGGCGACUUCACCUGCGACGGCUGCGGCCGCGGUGGAAGGGGUGCCCGCUACCGCUGCCACGGCUGCAAUUUCGACCUGCAUCUCUCCUGUGCCACGUACAACUUCCCCUGCCAUGGUCACCCGCUCAAGUAUCAACCGCGCUGUCCUUCAGGUGUCCAGAUCAUCUGCGAUGCUUGUAACACAAAUGUGUGCGGUGCACACUAUGGUUGCGCUGGCUGCGACUUCCAAGUCCACCCCGCCUGCGUCCAGCGUCGGACGACCAUAGUCCCGCCACAGCCAACAACGAAUUGCACGCCGCGGCCCUGUGGGUAUUGCACCGUCUACUGUGUCUAUUGCGUCCGGUGCAACCCGGGCCGCAGGUGUGGCUGAUCGAUUUCAAAAAUAGUUCCACCUUCCGCAUAUCGAAUAAUAGUUGCCCCUUCUGCGUUACUUCUUCGAUUUUGUAAGCUGCAGUGUCUGUAUUUUUUAAAAUAUGAUUGUUUCCCUCAUCUAUAUUUUACUAUGUGAUUUCUUUCACUGCAUAAGGUCCGUAAUUGUAUUGAAAUUUGGAUUGCUUAUUGUAUUGUCUUCAAUAAUAUAAAGUUUAUUCCUGAAUUAAUGAAUUGUUGUCUCGCAAAUGAUUGUUGUUUCACAAAUUGUGUAUACGCUUUGAUCCUUAACAAGUAUGAAUUGUGUGUGCAUCUCGAGUCCUUGACAAAUAAACAAGGUGUAUUUGUCAAUCCAAGUACAAUGAUAUCUAAAAAAAUGUUCAUGUGUUUCAACAUAAUAUUCAUACAAUGUAAGAACGUCUUCACAAAUUGAAAAUAAUGUUCAUACCAUUCAAGAAAAAGCACAUGAUAUCUAAAAAAUGUUCAUUGAUUUCAACAUAAUAUUUUUGAUGCAUUUUAAAAAAUAAUUACACAAUACAAUAAAUGUUUGCAUAAUGAAAAAUAAAAUGCUUGGUACCAUUCAAACAAAAUGUACCUGACAUUUAGAAAAAUGGUUAAGGAAAACUUUAAAAAUGAUAUAUGCAAUGUAAAGAAAUGUUCACGUAAUUUAGAAAAGUUUUGUAUCUAUUUAAAAAAAUUCUGCAUCUAUUGGAAAAAUAUUUAACAUGUAUGUGAAUAAUAUUCAAUGUAUAUCAAAAACAACUAACGCAUGUACCGAACUGUAAAUACGGUUGCCCUAUUGAUAACAUCGUUUCUCGCUACCCCUUGAUAAACACAUGUAUUGGUCGACAUAAUUUUUAUUUUAUUUUAACGGUCAAUGUAAAGUUAAAUAGAGAGAUACCUUUCAUAGAACCUAGCAAUCGAUGGUGUUCUUUCCGUGUAAUGAGGAUGCAUAUUCAAAUAACAAUUUGCAACAUAAAAAUGAGUUUGAUAUCAAUCUAUACGGUGUUCCUAAAAUUUGAAUUGAUAAUUAGUUUUAAAAAUCCGGAUGGCAGUUUUCGGUAUCCGCGGUAACCAUGUUUCUCGCUCCCCUCGCUGAAAUUAAACAUUGGUUUUACGAUAGAAAUGCUAAAACAUCCUUAGAAUUAAUUAAGUGGGAGAGCCCAGGAUACACUAUGUUUACAUACCGUGACGUGUGACAAAUGAAUACACUGUAUCUAAACAUCUAAGAGGCUUCAAAGCCUGUUGAAGCUUCUCUUUUAUUCGUACACAACUACGUUCAAUCCAAACUUGCUAACCCCUCCUUUUCGGUUUACAGGUCUCAUCUUAAAAAUUUCUGAUUUCCGUUAUAUUAGGCUCAUUUUAAGUCUAACUGAAUUAAAAUGCUUUGAGUUUCACGCCAUAUUUAAUUCAUAGAGAUUAGAGAAAAAAAUUAAUGGAUAUGCAUGCAUCUUUUUCUACAUUCAUCAUGCAAGUCCAAUGAAAAGAAGGAUGCUACAUUUAUUGCCUCGAAAAUUAAAUAUGUGAGAAAUAUUUCAUUGGCUAGUUAAAACUAGUGCUAUCCUCUCAUAAUUCACCUUGAUUAAUUGGAUUUUAGAUUUGAGUCCUAUAAACUGAAAAGGAGGGAGUAUAUCCCAAGAUGUAGGAAAAUAUCCGCUUAAAGGAAAGUUUGUCUUGCUUGACUGCCAAACCUAAGACAAACCUUUCCACUCAUGGGGCAAAUGGUGUUAGAUGGGAAAGACCUAAAAAGGAUUGACUGAACCCAAAUUUGGACGGAUCUUUCACAUCUGAUGGAACCGUGGUAUGAUCUUGCGUGACCAUUUGGGAAAAANNNNNNNNNNNNNNNNNNNNNNNNNNNNNNNNNNNNNNNNNNNNNNNNNNNNNNNNNNNNNNNNNNNNNNNNNNNNNNNNNNNNNNNNNNNNNNNNNNNNGUGUAUACGCUUUGAUCCUUAACAAGUAUGAAUUGUGUGUGCAUCUCGAGUCCUUGACAAAUAAACAAGGUGUAUUUGUCAAUCCAAGUACAAUGAUAUCUAAAAAAAUGUUCAUGUGUUUCAACAUAAUAUUCAUACAAUGUAAGAACGUCUUCACAAAUUGAAAAUAAUGUUCAUACCAUUCAAGAAAAAGCACAUGAUAUCUAAAAAAUGUUCAUUGAUUUCAACAUAAUAUUUUUGAUGCAUUUUAAAAAAUAAUUACACAAUACAAUAAAUGUUUGCAUAAUGAAAAAUAAAAUGCUUGGUACCAUUCAAACAAAAUGUACCUGACAUUUAGAAAAAUGAUUAAUGAAAACUUUGAAAAUGAUAUAUGCAAUGUAAAGAAAUGUUCACGUAAUUUAGAAAAGUUUUGUAUCUAUUUAAAAAAAUUCUGCAUCUAUUGGAAAAAUAUUUAACAUGUAUGUGAAUAAUAUUCAAUGUAUAUCAAAAACAACUAACGCAUGUACCGAACUGUAAAUACGGUUGCCCUAUUGAUAACAUCGUUUCUCGCUACCCCUUGAUAAACACAUGUAUUGGUCGACAUAAUUUUUAUUUUAUUUUAACGGUCAAUGUAAAGUUAAAUAGAGUGAUACCUUUCAAAGAACCUAACAGUCGAUGGUGUUCUUUCCGUGUAAUGAGGAUGCAUAUUCAAUUAACAAUUUGCAGCAAAAAAAUGAGUUUGAUAUCAAGCUAUACGGUGUUCCUAAAAUUUUAAUUCAUAAUUAGUUUGAAAAAUCCGGAUGGCAGUUUUCGGUAUCCGCGGUAACCAUGUUUCUCGCUCCCCUCGCUGAAAUUAAACAUUGGUUUUACGAUAGAAAUGCUAAAACAUCCUUAGAAUUAAUUAAGUGGGAGAGCCCAGGAUACACUAUGUUUACAUACCGUGACGUGUGACAAAUGAAUACACUGUAUCUAAACAUCUAAGAGGCUUCAAAGCCUGUUGAAGCUUCUCUUUUAUUCGUACACAACUACGUUCAAUCCAAACUUGCUAACCCCUCCUUUUCGGUUUACAGGUCUCAUCUUAAAAAUUUCUGAUUUCCGUUAUAUUAGGCUCAUUUUAANNNNNNNNNNNNNNNNNNNNNNNNNNNNNNNNNNNNNNNNNNNNNNNNNNNNNNNNNNNNNNNNNNNNNNNNNNNNNNNNNNNNNNNNNNNNNNNNNNNNCUACUAGUGUUGUUUGGUGAGACCUUUUGUGGCGGUACUAUUUAAAGAUUUGCCUUACACUCGGUAAACUCUUGACCACUACCAGACAGCCAUGUGUCCAUCAGGUUUGCCUUACCUUUCUCGGCACAAAGCAAAGCUUUACCGAGUGCGACACUAAUCAAACUCGUGUCCUAGAAGCUAUCACAUAGUGCCACGUGUCAUGUUUGCCUAGCGUUGCAUUGAGGAAACACGUCAUAUUUAAUUUUUGGAAAGCCAUGCAAAUAAAGAUCAAUUCAUUAAAAUAUAUUUUAUCAUCACAUAUAGCUGAAGAACCCAUUGAUGGAAAACCAACCUGAACUUGAAUGGUUAGGAGGACAGUAGCAUUAUCCUUGGACUUAUUUUCAUCGUGUGCGAGUCAUCUAUAAUGACUUCGUAAAAUCCCAAGAUGCCAUGCCGACGCAGUUUUGCAAAGGCAUUCAUAAAGAUAGAAUGUAAAGAUAGAAUGUGCUUCCGUGCGUUCACAAGCUUCGAGUGUAUGCAAGGGCGUUGCCAGGCCCCAGGCUACCUUUGUUGAUUUUAGCUUUAUUUUCUGACAAUAGUUAUCACUGUAGCAAUGAUGUUGGCCCAUCGCUAAUCUCUGACCUGGCUAUGUCAAUUGUGUAUGUGAACCAAUUUGACUGUAGUGUGUUUCAAAAAGAAUUGAUGGACUAGUGGGCGAAAGUAGCCAGUCAAAAAAAAAAAGGAAAGAGAUGAAGUAUACAAAUUAUAUUGACCCCGAGACUAGCUUUUUUUCAGAAAAGAAGGAAGACCCCCGGCCUUUGCAUCUGAGCAAUGCAUGCAGCCAUUUUAUUAAUUAUUUACAAAGACCUUACAAGGUCAUACAUCAGUAAGACUGAAGUCACCGUCUAGACAACAUAUGUCGCUAGUUCUAUAUAGUUGAUGAAGGGAUGCUGAUAGUCUGGGUCUAAUACCAAACAGACCUCGCAGCCAAACCUAACAUCUAAGACCUGAUGCCCCAACCAAGCCACCUGCUUGGUAUGGGGCACCCACCGGUGCGGCGCACACUGACAGGUCGUCGCCGCCAACUGUCAUUAAUACAUCUUCAAAACUGUACUGACGCAUCCACCUUGCCCGGUCUAGCUGCCGUCGACGCCACCACGACGCCAGACAGCGUCGCCCUCCAGCGCGAGUCCAUCCUCGCAUAUCAGACGCCUAAUCACCAGGGCGUCUCGCCAUCGAGAUCCGUCGCCCUCAAUGUACAGGAUGAAGCACCGCUCCACCGAAGAAAACAUCCACUGGUCCCCGAACCCGGGUACACCUCCAAGAGAUGAAGUAUAUAAAUUAUAUUGACCCCGAGACUAGCUGGUGAUUGGAAUUAUUUUCCCAACUGACUAUAAAGGAUAUCACAUGGUCAUCGAUUAGGAAUUCACAAGUCACACUCACAUGCAUGCAUGCAUGCGUGUCAACAUAGCUAAUUCAAUUGUUUUUUAAAUGUGAAAGCCCAAUACUGAGCUACAGACAGCUACACCAAGACUUCUUCUACGUGCUUAUCUGUAUAUGAUUUGGUCGUUGCUUCGUUAAGGACAUCUGAAGCUUGUGUUCGGACGAGCACAUGUACAAGCUCGGUUACAGCCUACACGUAGAUGUAGUUGAAGACUUACACACCAAGUCUUUGUGUAUAUGCUUUGAUUCUAAAUCAAAUCAUGUUGCUUAAUUACUCAAACCGCGUCUCAAGCCAUUAUUUCUUUUGUGUAGUUAGUUGGGUACUAAUACUACGCGCCCCACACAUGCACGCAUCUUAUACAUCUAGACUAUAUAUAAACCUCCACAGCGCGCUGCAAAACAAAAAACACCCAAUCCCAAACCCAACCCAAGAGGAAGAACACACGAAGCAAACGUCCAUCGGGCAUGACGAUCCACCACCACAGCCAUGGGUGCCCGCUUGUCCGCCAUGAGCACGGCGACUUCACCUGCGACGGCUGCGGCCGCGGUGGAAGGGGUGCCCGCUACCGCUGCCACGGCUGCAAUUUCGACCUGCAUCUCUCCUGUGCCACGUACAACUUCCCCUGCCAUGGUCACCCGCUCAAGUAUCAGCCGCGCUGUCCUUCAGGUGUCCAGAUCAUCUGCGAUGCUUGUAACACAAACGUGUGCGGUGCACACUAUGGUUGCGCUGGCUGCGACUUCCAAGUCCACCCCGCCUGCGUCCAGCGUCGGACGACCAUAGUCCCGCCACAGCCAACAACGAAUUGCACGCCGCGGCCCUGUGGGUAUUGCACCGUCUACUGUGUCUAUUGCGUCCGGUGCAACCCGGGCCGCAGGUGUGGCUGAUCGAUUUCAAAAAUAGUUCCACCUUCCGCAUAUCGAAUAAUAGUUUCCCCUUCUGCAUUACUUCUUUGAUUUGGUAAGCUGCAGUGUCUGUAUUUUUUAAAAUAUGAUUGUUUCCCUCAUCUAUAUUUUACCAUGUGAUUUCUUUCACUGCAUAAGGUCCGUAAUUGUAUUGAAAUUUGGAUUGCUUAUUGUAUUGUCUUCAAUAAUAUAAAGUUUAUUCCUGAAUUAAUGAAUUGUUGUCUCGCAAAUGAUUGUUGUUUCACAAAUUGUGUAUACGCUUUGAUCCUUAACAAGUAUGAAUUGUGUGUGCAUCUCAAGUCCUUGACAAAUAAACAAGGUGUAUUUGUCAAUCCAACUUACGCAUGCUUCAUGGAUGAAGUAAAGAAAAAUCUUCAUCCUCUUCCUCUUCCUCCAUCUCUUGGGCUCGAGCAAAUCCAUUUCUUCGUCCUCGUUGUUGUUGGGCGUGGUGGCAAACUCGACGUGGUUUUAAAAAUUACAACCGAUAAUUGUAGGCCUCCACUCAUCGAGCAAGCCGGGGGGCGGCAGCAAACUCCGACCGCACAUGUUGAGGAGGCAGGGGUGCAUUGGCAUGGAUUCCCCCAUCUUGAGGGAACCGCCGCCGUCCUUCUGUGCGUUCAGAAUUGGGAGGAUCUGCUGCACCCUCGGCAGCCCCACCGUCUUGAAGCUCUCCAUCUCCCUUGGGCUCACCACGUGGAGGAACAAAAGACAAUUCUUCAUCCUCUUCCUCUUCCUCCGUCUUCUCCGUCUCUUGGGCCCGAGCACAUCCAUUUCUUCCUCCUCGUUGUUGUCGGGUGUGGUGGCAAACUCGAUGUGGUUGAAAAAUUACAACCGAGAAUAGUAGGCCUCCACUCGUUGAGCAAGCCGGGGGGCGGCAGCAAAGUCUGGGUGUGCAUGUUGAGGAGGUAGGGUGCACCGGCAUGGAUUCCGCCAUCUCGAGGGUGAAGCAGAGCAUGACAACCCCACCGUCCUUCUGUGUGAUUUGAAUUGGGAGGAUAGAUUGCACCCUCGACAGCCCCGCCGUCUUGAAGCUCGCCACGUGGAGCUCCUCACCACCGCCGUCUCUCUGUCUCUCUGCUACCACUCGAUGGCCCAUGACAACACUGUGAUGUCCCCGGGUGACUCAAACUCCCAACACACAUCGCAUGCCUCAAACGGAAAUGUGUGAGUACUCUCGGGUGUACUACACCCGAGUUUGAAAAAGUACAAAAAAAUAAUAUAAAAAAAACAAAAAAUCAGAAAUUUUGAGACAACAAACUUAGUCAAAUGUUUGAGUUUCUUGUAAAAUUGCAGCCGAAAACAACAUCCGAUGAGCUCGCACAAAAAAAACAAAAUACCUGCACAAACAGUGGAGAAAAUCUGGAAUAUUGAUUUUCUCUUUUUUCAUGAAAGCUCAUUUGAUGUUAUUUUUUGGCUGAAAUUUGGCAGGAAGCUCGAACAUUUGAUAAAGUUUGAUGAUUCAAAGUUUCAGAUUUUUAUUUUUUUCAUUUUNNNNNNNNNNNNNNNNNNNNNNNNNNNNNNNNNNNNNNNNNNNNNNNNNNNNNNNNNNNNNNNNNNNNNNNNNNNNNNNNNNNNNNNNNNNNNNNNNNNNGGGCUACGACAAAAACUGGAUGCACUUCGUGUACAAAACGGACAAUCUCUCUCGAAGUAUCAGCGUUUCGAACGAGAACUCAUCUCUUACAAAGGUUUAUUAAAAUUCUUUUUGCAUAUUUGAGAAUUUGACAAAACUAUGAAAAUGAGAAGUGUUGUAAAUUGAAUAAAUAAUUCAAACCUAAAAGGUCUAGUACAUUCCAAACAUGCAUUACAUAAAAGGUUUAAUACAUAAAUUAUUACAUUAUUGUACCAAUAUUCCUAUCUAUUAUUUCUGUUUUCUUCUGGGUCGUAGCCAUGGAGAAUCUUCAUCAUUCAGUAGGAUGCUUGGGUCAGUUUUCACUUUGAAGGGCGGAAUUUCAUGAAACUUAUUAUAAUCUACUGACAUGUCUGUCUUGUCAUCUACUCCCACGAUGUUUCUUUUCCCUGAAAGAACUAUGUGGCGUUUUGGCUCAUCGGACGAUAUCUUCUUUUGCUGAUUUAUUUUUCUCGUUUUUGUAGACAUGUCCUUCACAUAGAAAACCUGAGCGACAUCAUUGGCUAGGACAAAUGGUUCGUCCAUGUACGCAAGAUUGUUGAGAUCCACUGUUGUCAUGCCAUACUUUUGGUUUACAACUACCCCGCCUCCUUCCAGCUUCACCCAUUUGCACCGAAACAAAGGGAUCUUAAAAGUUGCUCCAUAGUCAAGUUCCCAUAUCUCCUCUAUGUACUCGUAAUAUGUUUCCAAACAGUGCCCAUUCUCGUCUGUUGCAUCAAAGCGGACACCAUAUGUUUCCAAACAGUGCCCAUUCUCGUAAUAUGGUGCUCUUUUUAUCUUGGGCAACCGUGUAAAAUGUAUUCCCAUUUAUCUCAUACCCUUGGAAAGUACAUAUAGUCGAAGAUGGUGGCCUGGCCAAACAGUACAGCUGAUCUCCAACAGUGUCGUCAUUCAUGAGAUGUGUCUGCAACCAACUGCCGAAAGUCUUCUCUUGUUCCCCUUCAAUAAAAGAGUCAGCCUUCCCCGGGUUUUUGGAGCGUAGAAUAUUCUUGUGUCUCACGAUAUACGGAGCCACCACGGUGGAAUUGUGUAGAACUGUGUAGUGUGCUUGAGAGAAAGAAUGCCCGUCCAUACAUACUUAUGCUUUCCUUCCUAGUGUGCCUUUUCCUGUCAACCUACCCUCAUACCAAGAUUCAGGAACACCAAUCGGCUUAAGGUCAGGAAGAAAGUCCACACAAAACUCAAUGACCUCCUCUGUUCCAUAGCCCUUGGAGAUGCUUCCUUCUGGCCUAGCACGGUUACGAACAUAUUUCUUUAAGACUCCCAUGAACCUCUCGAAGGGGAACAUAUUGUGUAGAAACACAGGACCGAGAAUUCUAAUCUCUUCGACUAGGUGAACUAGGAGGUGUGUCAUUAUAUUGAAGAAUGAUGACGGGAACAACAACUGAAAGCUGACCAGACAUUGGACCACAUCAAUCUGUAACCCUGAUAGACUUUCUCGAUCGAUUACCUUCUGAGAAAUUGCAUUGAGGAAUGCACAUACCUUCACAAUUUCCACGCGAACAUUUUUCGGUAGAAUUCCCUCAAUGCAACCGGAAGCAAUUGCGUCAUAAGCACGUGGCAGUCUUGAGACUUUAGGUUUUGGAAUUUUUUGUCUUUCAUAUUUACGAUUCCCUUUAUAUUCGACGAGAAGCCAGUCGAGACCUUGAUACUGAAAAGGACUUCAAAGAAGAUUUCCUUCUCUUCCUUAAUUAGUAAGAGCGUAGCUGGCACGCCCUUGAAACUGCCCUGGAUGCAUGCCAUCUCUUCCUUUAUGACGUUCCUGGUCCUCCCGUGCUUCCGGUGUAUCUUUUGACUUCCCAUACAAGCCCAGGAAGCCUGGAAUAUUCACGCAGAGAUUCUUCGUCAGGUGCAUCACGUCGAUUGCCUCAUGGACUUUCCAGUAGGGUAGCUCCCAAAAUAUAGAUUUCUUCUUCCACAUGGGUACGCGCUUAUCAGGGCCGUUAGGAACAGGUUGGCUGCCAGGAUCCUUUCCAAAUAUUACUUUUAAAUCUUUGACCAUAUCAAAUACUUCAGCACCAGUACGGAUGACACGCUUCCCCCGGGGUUCUGCCUUGCCAUUGAAAUGCUUGCCUUUUUUCUUUGGGAUGCUUGGGCGGAAGAAAACGACGAUUGUACGGGUACACAUUAUUCCUACAUUUGUCCAGAUAUAUACUUUCUGUCUGAUCCAAACAGUGUGUGCAUGCAUUGUAUCCCUUGUUUGACUGUCCUGAAAUGUUACUAAGAGCAGGCCAAUGAUUGAUGGUUACGAAGGUCAAAUUCCUCUUGUUUGUGCUCGUCCCACACACGUACACCUGGUUCGGCCCACACCUGUAAAAGUUCAUCAACUAAUGGCCUUAGGUACACAUCAAUAUUGUUGCCGGGUUGCUUUGGACCUUGGAUAAGCACUGGCAUCAUAAUGAACUUCCGCUUCAUGCACAACCAAGGAGGAAGGUUGUAGAUACAUAGAGUAACGGGCUAGGUGUUGUGACUGCAACUCUGCUUCCCAAAAGGAUUCAUGCCAUCUGUACUCAGACCUAACCAUAAGUUCCUUGCGUCAGCUGCAAAUCUCGGGAACUCUCUCUCGAUUUUUCUCCACUGCCGACCAUCAGCGGUGUGCCUCAACUUAUCGUCUUUCAUACAUCUUCCAUGUGCCAUCGCAACAACUUCGCAUGAUCUUUAUUUCUGAACAGACGUUUCAACCGUAGUAUUAUAGUAGCAUACCACAUCACCUUGGCAGGAACCCUCUUCCUGGGUGGCUCGCCCUCAAUAUCACCAGGGUCAUCUUUUCUGAUCUUAUACCGCAAUGCAGUGCAUACCGGGCAUUUAUCCAUAUUCUCGUACUUCUCACCGCGGUAGAGGAUGCAGUCAUUAGGGCAUGCAUGUAUCUUCUGCACGUCUAAUCCUAGAGGGCAGACAAGCUUCUUUGCUUCGUACGUGCUGGCGGGCAAUUCGUUCUUUCUUGGAAGCAUCUUCUUCAUCAGUACCAGCAACUUUUCGAAUGACGAGUUAGUCACACCGGUCUCUGCCUUCCACUUCAGCAAUUCCAGUGUGCUACCCGGCUUCUUCUGGCCAUCUUCACAAGUUGGGUACAACAAUUUGUUGUGGUCCUGUAACAUCUGCUCGAACUGGAACCUCUCCUUUUCUGUGUCGCAACCUCGCCGUGCAUCAGAAAUGACCCGACCAAGAUCAUCAGCGGGCUCAUCUGGUUCCCGUUCUUCAUCCUGAUCUUCUUCUUCAUUGUCUUCCAUUGAGGUAUCAGCAUACUCAGGGAACAUAGAUCGGUAGUUGUCAUCAUCGUUCUCUUCUUCUUCAUCGUCGUCUUCCAUCAUAACCCCUCUUUCUCCGUGCUUGGUCCAAACAUUAUAGCCCGACAUAAAACCGGACCGAAGCAGGUGGCUCUGAAUGACUCUUGAGGAAGUGUAAUCCUUCUCAUUCCGACAUUCAACACAUGGACAAAACAUAUAGCCACCACCAUGCUUGUUCGCAUCGGCUGCAUCUCGAAAAGAAUGCACGCCUUCUCUGUAAGCGGCUGUGCGUCGAUCACCGUACAUCCAUGGAUGGCUCAUCUGCGUUAUACGACAGUAUAUCAAAUACAAUCACGAUCCUAAAAAUUAGUACCGCACGGUCUAAACGAGGAAAUAUAGUUGCUAACCUUUUAGAAUAAGUAGAAAUAAAGAGGAAGAGGUUUAAGCGUGGCUUGGGCAUCUCAUAUCGUAGUUGUGUUCGGUGAACUGAAGUGGCAUCGCUCUAACACACAUUUCAACAAACACCUCUAGUGCAUCCAAGAAAAAUGGAGAGCUAGCACACACCCACACUCUUCCAUCCAAGAAAAAUGCAAGGAAGAGGGGAGAGGGGGGCUGUGGCCAAUAUAUAUAGGCACAGGACUUUAGUCCCGGUUUGAGACACAAACCGGGACUAAAGGUGGCGCACAUGCGGGCUGCACACCGCGUAGCCCUUUAGUCCCGGUUUCAGACACAAACCGGGACUAAAGGCUCCUUACGGGCCGGGACCAAAGCCUCGUGGGCGGCAUUGCGAUUUGGGGCGACGUGGCCGGGCCUUUAGUCCCGGCCCAGAGGGAGGCCGGGACUAAAGGGUCCAGGCCAAAGGCCCGUUUUCCACUAGUGUGGUUGCAUUGGAGGGCAGGUUCUCCAAUACCUGGCAGGUUCUUCAGGGAUAUCACUGGAGCUAUGGUCAUGUGAUGGUUCCUUCUCUUUGGGUGUCCACCACCCGCGACGAUACCCGUCGGGCGCUACGGUUCUAGCUGUAUUAAUGAUGCUUUAUGUAUGAUAGUAUUCGAGGAGUAUUAAUUAGUGAUAAUAUUCGACGAUGUAUGGACACAAGAGAUCGAUGAUGUAGUCUUUCUUAUAAUUGAAUGCAUGCUAAUUUGAAUACUACUUUAUUUUACGAUUUUCUUUUGCUUAUUGAAUGUUCAAAUUGGAAAAGUACUCCUACUUUGAAUGCUAAAAUUAGAGAGCACUAUGCAGAAAUCUAGGACCCCCCUCCAUCAUCCGCGCUGUCGUCCCCGACACCGACCCCCCUCCGACCUCGAGUCAGGGUCUAUAUUGUUUUAUGCUAUUUUACCUUAAAUAGGGUAUUUAAUUAGGUCCUCCCUAAUACUAAUGAUCAUGUUGCUGUAAAUGUUGUAUGACAAUGUUGUAAAGGGUAGUAAUUGGUCUCUUCUGCUGCUUUUCAGACAUGGAGUUCUUCACGGUUAUACUUGAGAAAUCCUCCAGGCUGGUGCUGCCGCACAAUUUUGUGAAGAUGCUGGACAGCCAUCGGCCACAGAACAUGAAGCUGAGGCAGGCCGGCAACGGGCUUCGCAAGCUGUGGGACGUGGAGGUGGUGUUCGACGCCGAUGGCCGCAUGUACCUAGAUUAUGGCUGGAAGCAGUUCGUCCGUGCCUACGACCUGGGGAUCGGGUACUUCCUUGUCUUCAGGUACGACGGCAACGCCACGUUCGCCAUGAAGGUGUUCGACACGACUAUGUGUCGGAGGCGCUACCAGGACGACGACGAUGCCGGUACGCUCUGUCACUUCUUCCUCUCCAUUAGGCUAUCUCUCACACCCAUUUUAAAAUUUUUUUUUGCAUUUGGCAAGGCAAUGGGAGCAGGAGCAGCGAGUACUGCGAUAGCUGCUAUGUCUACGGCAGCAGCGACUCUGGCAGCAAAAGUAGCAGCGACUCUGGCGACAGCAAAAGUAGCAGCGACGACGGCCUCGCGAUGGAUGUCCCACAGCUGGGCGACAGGGCCAUGCCAAUUGUGGUAGAGGAGUACAUCCCACAGCCUGGCCUGGGGCUUCGCCACUCUAAGCGCAUCAAGAUGAUGAAGGAGAAGGUGAAGAAGAAGGAGUGAAUAUCUUAAGAACCUGAUGGCUUUAAUCUUUAUAGUAUAAACCUUUUAAGUACGAUAGUGUUGAACUGCUACUGCACUUCUAAGUAUGAUGGUGGUGUGCCCGAUGAAAUUUUGUGCAUGCUCAUGGAUGCUCCUUGUUAUUAUGAUGUAUGAUGAUGCAUGAUUAGUAGGACUUGUUAUUAUAUAUGAUGAUGUAUGAUGCAAGCAUGAAUAAUUAUUAUAUAUCAGCGGGUGAAAUGAACAUAGCAGUAGCGUUGGUAAACCAAGCACGAAGAUAAGAGAUGACACUUCUCUCUAUUAGGUAGCUAAUAACAACCUAAAUUAACCCCCAAAACCCCUAAACCAGCCACUUAAAAAAAACUCAGGUGCGGCCAGUUUCUGACGCGUUGAUGCCUUUUGGUCCCGGUUUAUGUCACCAACCGGGACCAAAGCCCCCCUGCCUAGGCUGCCCGUAGCGGCCACGUGGAUGCCCAUCUGUUCCGGUUCGUGUAAGAAACGGGAUGUCACAUCCCUAACCCUUAAUCAAGAUAGCAUUGUGCUCAUGUCUUCUUUGCAUUUGCAUCUAAGAAGUUUCAACAAAAACAACAAAGUGGCAAAGGAAAAACUCAAAACCCUAGCCACCAUUUCAAUUAAAGGAAAUCUCAAACUAGUUCAAAAUCAAUGAACCCAAAAUGGCCUCAAGAAAUGUUCAAACUUUCUGAUAAAUCAUGAAAGUAAAUGAGCAUUGGAGAAAACUAUUUUCUUGACACUUUAAGCUUUUUGAAUAAAUGAAAAAGGCUACUGGUUUCAAGUUUUAAAUUUGAAAUCAGAAACUAUAAAUUUCCAAAAAUGUUGAAAACCUUGGAAAUGGUUGGGGAUAUUAUAACAAAUAUUUCAGGAGGUCUAAAAUAGUUUUUACUUAUUGUUUUGGAGCUGAAUUAAUUAGCAAAACAAUAAUUAGCAAAAUAGAAAAAAAAACAGAAAAAAAUGGAAAAACCUUACCUGUCGCCUAAGCCUGGCCCGGCCCAUCCCUGGCUCGUCCCCUCCCUCGCGCCAGUAGGCAGAAGGAGGUGGCCGCCGCCCCCUCUGGCGCGGCCACGCACCUGCGUGCCUGCCUGGCCGCCGCCUCGCGCUGGCGACGACGGGGAUAAGCUCCCCACGGCCUCCCCUAUCCAUUCCCCGCCUCGGUUCUCUUCCUCCUCCCGGAUCUCCUCCUCCUCCUUNNNNNNNNNNNNNNNNNNNNNNNNNNNNNNNNNNNNNNNNNNNNNNNNNNNNNNNNNNNNNNNNNNNNNNNNNNNNNNNNNNNNNNNNNNNNNNNNNNNNAAUUAUCGUAAAAGAAAAUAAAUAAGUAAUUAGAAACAAAAAAGAAAGCAAAAAAAACUGGGAAAAAAUUAAAAUAAAGGAAUCAACUAAAAAGCUUGUCUAAACCUCUAGUAUUACUAAAACUAAAAUUAUAUAGAAUUUUGUUACAAACUUUAAUAGCAAAAAGAAUUAUCAGAAAAGAAAAUAAAUAAGUAAUUAGAAACAAUAAAAAAUAAAAAAUAAGUAUUUUGUUGUAAGUAGAAACAAAACAAAAUAAGCUAACUAGCACUUUGAAUUUAAGUAGAAACAAAACAAAAAUAAUGGAAAAAAAUUAAAAAAAUAGAUUCGAAUUGAGAGAGAAAUUCAACCUAAAUUCAAAGUGCUAGUUAGCCUAACUAGCUCUUUGAAUUUAAAGUGCUAGUUAGCCUAACUAGUUGUUUGAAUUUAGGUUGAAUUUUGUCUCUAAAUUUGUACCGUUCGACAUUGCAGCCGCGGCGGAGCUUAUAAACAGGCUCGGCAGCCCUUUGCUUGGCGAGCUGGGACUAAACAUCCAACCGCACCACGGCUAUGGCACACACAUGCCUUUAGUCCCGGUUGGUGGCUCCAACUGAGACUAAUGCCGCUCUUUAGUCCCAGUUGGUGGCACCAACCGGGACCAAAGGCCUCUGCUUCCCACCCUUUUCGGGAAGCAGAUGUCUUUGGUCCCGGUUGGUGCCACCAACUGGGACCAAUGCAACCCUUUAGUCCCGGUUGAUGCCACGAACCGGGACCAAUGCUUCCGCUAUAUAAGCCAACACUUUGGAAAUUUUCAGAUUUGACGGCGCCGCGAGCUCAUCCACGCCCGACAACGCCGCGAGCUCAUCCUCGGCGUUGCCAGGCUGCCCCGUCGCCGUCGCCAGUCGCCCUCCGCCCCCAAGCCCACGCCGUCGCCCGUCGCCGCCGCCCUCCGCCCCCAAGCCCACGCCGUCGCCCGUCGCCGUCGCCCUCCGCCGCCCCCGAGCCGUCGCCAGUCACCGUCGCCCUCGCCCNNNNNNNNNNNNNNNNNNNNNNNNNNNNNNNNNNNNNNNNNNNNNNNNNNNNNNNNNNNNNNNNNNNNNNNNNNNNNNNNNNNNNNNNNNNNNNNNNNNNAAAAUGAAAAAAAUAAAAAUCUGAAACUUUGAAUCAUCAAACUUUAUCAAAUGUUCGAGCUUCCUGCCAAAUUUCAGCCAAAAAAUAACAUCAAAUGAGCUUUCAUGAAAAAAGAGAAAAUCAAUAUUCCAGAUUUUCUCCACUGUUUGUGCAGGUAUUUUGUUUUUUUUGUGCGAGCUCAUCGGAUGUUGUUUUCGGCUGCAAUUUUACAAGAAACUCAAACAUUUGACUAAGUUUGUUGUCUCAAAAUUUCUGAUUUUUUGUUUUUUUUAUAUUAUUUUUUUGUACUUUUUCAAACUCGGGUGUAGUACACCCGAGAGUACUCACACAUUUCCGUUUGAGGCAUGCGAUGUGUGUUGGGAGUUUGAGUCACCCGGGGACAUCACAGUGUUGUCAUGGGCCAUCGAGUGGUAGCAGAGAGACAGAGAGACGGCGGUGGUGAGGAGCUCCACGUGGCGAGCUUCAAGACGGCGGGGCUGUCGAGGGUGCAAUCUAUCCUCCCAAUUCAAAUCACACAGAAGGACGGUGGGGUUGUCAUGCUCUGCUUCACCCUCGAGAUGGCGGAAUCCAUGCCGGUGCACCCUACCUCCUCAACAUGCACACCCAGACUUUGCUGCCGCCCCCCGGCUUGCUCAACGAGUGGAGGCCUACUAUUCUCGGUUGUAAUUUUUCAACCACAUCGAGUUUGCCACCACACCCGACAACAACGAGGAGGAAGAAAUGGAUGUGCUCGGGCCCAAGAGACGGAGAAGACGGAGGAAGAGGAAGAGGAUGAAGAAUUGUCUUUUGUUCCUCCACGUGGUGAGCCCAAGGGAGAUGGAGAGCUUCAAGACGGUGGGGCUGCCGAGGGUGCAGCAGAUCCUCCCAAUUCUGAACGCACAGAAGGACGGCGGCGGUUCCCUCAAGAUGGGGGAAUCCAUGCCAAUGCACCCCUGCCUCCUCAACAUGUGCGGUCGGAGUUUGCUGCCGCCCCCCGGCUUGCUCGAUGAGUGGAGGCCUACAAUUAUCGGUUGUAAUUUUUAAAACCACGUCGAGUUUGCCACCACGCCCAACAACAACGAGGACGAAGAAAUGGAUUUGCUCGAGCCCAAGAGAUGGAGGAAGAGGAAGAGGAUGAAGAUUUUUCUUUACUUCAUCCAUGAAGCAUGCGUAAGUUGGAUUGACAAAUACACCUUGUUUAUUUGUCAAGGACUUGAGAUGCACACACAAUUCAUACUUGUUAAGGAUCAAAGCGUAUACACAAUUUGUGAAACAACAAUCAUUUGCGAGACAACAAUUCAUUAAUUCAGGAAUAAACUUUAUAUUAUUGAAGACAAUACAAUAAGCAAUCCAAAUUUCAAUACAAUUACGGACCUUAUGCAGUGAAAGAAAUCACAUGGUAAAAUAUAGAUGAGGGAAACAAUCAUAUUUUAAAAAAUACAGACACUGCAGCUUACCAAAUCAAAGAAGUAAUGCAGAAGGGGAAACUAUUAUUCGAUAUGCGGAAGGUGGAACUAUUUUUGAAAUCGAUCAGCCACACCUGCGGCCCGGGUUGCACCGGACGCAAUAGACACAGUAGACGGUGCAAUACCCACAGGGCCGCGGCGUGCAAUUCGUUGUUGGCUGUGGCGGGACUAUGGUCGUCCGACGCUGGACGCAGGUGGGGUGGACUUGGAAGUCGCAGCCAGCGCAACCAUAGUGUGCACCGCACACAUUUGUGUUACAAGCAUCGCAGAUGAUCUGGACACCUGAAGGACAGCGCGGUUGAUACUUGAGCGGGUGACCAUGGCAGGGGAAGUUGUACGUGGCGCAGGAGAGAUGCAGGUCGAAAUUGCAGCCGUGGCAGCGGUAGCGGGCACCCCUUCCACCGCGGCCGCAGCCGUCGCAGGUGAAGUCGCCGUGCUCAUGGCGGACAAGCGGGCACCCAUGGCUGUGGUGGUGGAUCGUCAUGCCCGAUGGACGUUUGCUUCGUGUGUUCUUCCUCUUGGGUUGGGUUUGGGAUUGGGUGUUUUUUGUUUUGCAGCGCCCUGUGGAGGUUUAUAUAUAGUACAGAUGUAUAAGAUGCGUGUAUGUGUGGGGCGCGUAGUAUUAGUACCCAACUAACUACACAAAAGAAAUAAUGGCUUGAGACGCGGUUUGAGUAAUUAAGCAACAUGAUUUGAUUUAGAAUCAAAGCAUAUACACAAAGACUUGGUGUGUAAGUCUUCAAAUACAUCUACGUAUAGGCUGUAGCCGAGCUUGUACAUGUGCUAGUCGGUCGAGCUGGAUUUGAUUGCGUCCGACCAAAAGCCUCACACGUACACGUGCUUUCAAUGAAGCAACAACCAAAGCAUAUACAGAUAAGCACGUAGACAAAGACUUGGUGUAGCUGCUUAUACCUCAGUAUUGGAUGUUCACAUUGUCAAAAACAAUUGAAUGCAUGCAUGUGAGUGUGACUCAUGAAUUCCUGGUGAAUGACCAUGUGAUAUCUUCUAUAGUCAGUUGGAAAAAUAAUUCCAAUCACCGGCUAGUCUCCAGGUCAAUGUAAUUUAUAUACUUCAUUGCUUCCUUUUUUGACUAGCUACUUUCACCCACCAGUCCAUCAGUUUCUUUUUUGAACACAGUACAAUCAAAUUGAUUCACAUACACAAGCAUACACUCGGAGACUAGCCAUAAGCGAACAUCAUUGCUACAGUAGUAAAUACUACUCCCUCCGUCUCAAAUUUUUUGUCUUAGUUUUGUCUUGAAAUGGAUGUAUCUAAAUACUAAAAUUUGACUAGAUACAUUCACAUUUAAAUAAAUCUAAGAUAAGAAUUUUGGAACGGAGGGAGUAUCAAACAUAGAUCAUGCAGCUACAAUCAACAAGCCGGCAUGCCUCAAGCCACAGCCCUGGUAGCACGGGGCCUAGCUACGCCUUUGCAUACGCUUGUCCUUGUGAACGCAUGCGUAGAGUAUAUCCUACCCUAUAAGCAUCUUUAAAAGACCAAGUCCACAUGGCAUCUUGAGAUUUUACGAAGUCAUUAUAAAUGUCUCGCAGUCGACAGAAACAUCUUUUCUCACCGAACAAACGUCGCUGGAAGUCUAAAAUAAGUCAAGGGAUAAUGCUACUGUCCUCCUAACCAUCCAAUUAUAGGUUGCUUCGCAAUCCAUGGAUUCUUGAUCUAUAUGUGACUAUAAAAUAUAUUUUAACGAAUUGUUCUAUAUUUGCACGACUUUUCAAAAAUUAAAUAUGAUGUGUUUCCUAAGUGUAACACUAGGCAAACAUGACACGUGGCACUAUGUGAUAGCUUCUAGGACACGAGUUUGCUUUGUCUUGCACUCGGUAAAGCUUUCCUUUGUGCCCAGAAAGGUACGGCAAACCUGACGGACACAUGGAUGUCGUAGUGGCCAAGAGUUUACGGAGUGUAAGGAAAAUAUUAGUUAGUACCGACACAAGAGGUCUAACCAAACAAACUAGGCAGGUGGCGCGCUGACAAAGUCCAUUAGUAUAGCGGCGGAGGAACUCGGCAAAAACCUCAAACACAUGGCAUGACUGUUGCCAUCACCAUUCCAUGUGUCACUUUAUUUUGCCUAGUUAACUAUGGUUUGCACUCAAAAAACAUUUGCGACUACCCGAGAGAAAAAAAAACUAGGACAACUUCCUUUGCUGGGAGGAGACCAGUUGACACCUCUUUGUCGAGUCAACCAAUAUGAUGGAGUCAGCAAGCUCUUUCCCGAGCUGUUUUUGAACAUUACCGAGUGCCGUGGGUACUAGGCAAGUGUGGUGUUUCCAGUUGUGACAAUGGCAGUGAAAUGGAAGCCCUGAGUGUGAGUCUAAAGUCUAAACUGCAACGGAUGUUGCAUCUGAGGAUGUCAUACUUCAUACAAACAAAAAGCCCAUAUUUCAGAAACAGAUUGAAGGAUUUCUAGUCGACGCAUGGUAAUACCGCCCAUGGAGUAUUACCAUUCAUUAUAACAAACUAUUGUCAUCGUUCGUAUGAUGACAAUUGUUGCUACACAGUUUUUAAUACUUUAGUUGUAUUGAAAAUCACUGCUGCCAAAUAGUUGCAUUAACCAUGCCACAGAUCUACGCACCCUCUCCUUCUCAAAAAUAUUAUGUUUAAACACAUGAACAUUAUUUUAGAUGUCAUGUACUUUUUAUGAAUGGUAUGAACAUUAUUUUCAAUUUUGUGAAGACUUUCUUACAUUUUAUGAAUAAUUGUUUUUAAACCAAACAUAUUUUUUGACACUCCCGAGCAUAUUUAAAAAAAUGUUUAAAAUAAUAUUUUUAGUAACAUUUUCAAAUCGUUGCACACACAUUAGUUGGACGCACUACAUACAUUUUCUUAAAUUUUAUAAAUUUGAUAUUUUUAAUUUAAGAAAUAUAAAUAAAAGAAUGAAAUGAACGAAGAGACGAAUGUAACACAUGUAUGACACGAAGGCACGUCCCUAGGUGUGUUAAAAGAUGUAACACAUAUCCGUGUAAUAUAAACAGUAUAUGAUUGUGUUUAAGUUACUUGUUGGAGAUAUAACUUGUAUAACAAUCCAACAACUAAUCUUGUAGAUCUUUGCUUUCCAGCACAGUGGNNNNNNNNNNNNNNNNNNNNNNNNNNNNNNNNNNNNNNNNNNNNNNNNNNNNNNNNNNNNNNNNNNNNNNNNNNNNNNNNNNNNNNNNNNNNNNNNNNNNCGAAUAAUAGUUUCCCCUUCUGCAUUACUUCUUCGAUUUGGUAAGCUGCAGUGUCUGUAUUUUUUAAAAUAUGAUUGUUUCCCUCAUCUAUAUUUUACUAUGUGAUUUCUUUCACUGCAUAAGGUCCGUAAUUGUAUUGAAAUUUGGAUUGCUUAUUGUAUUGUCUUCAAUAAUAUAAAGUUUAUUCCUGAAUUAAUGAAUUGUUGUCUCGCAAAUGAUUGUUGUUUCACAAAUUGUGUAUACGCUUUGAUCCUUAACAAGUAUGAAUUGUGUGUGCAUCUCAAGUCCUUGACAAAUAAACAAGGUGUAUUUGUCAAUCCAACUUACGCAUGCUUCAUGGAUGAAGUAAAGAAAAAUCUUCAUCCUUUGUCAAUCCAAGUACAAUGAUAUCUAAAAAAAUGUUCAUGUGUUUCAACAUAAUAUUCAUACAAUGUAAGAACGUCUUCACAAAUUGAAAAUAAUGUUCAUACCAUUCAAGAAAAAGCACAUGAUAUCUAAAAAAUGUUCAUUGAUUUCAACAUAAUAUUUUUGAUGCAUUUUAAAAAAUAAUUACACAAUACAAUAAAUGUUUGCAUAAUGAAAAAUAAAAUGCUUGGUACCAUUCAAACAAAAUGUACCUGACAUUUAGAAAAAUGGUUAAGGAAAACUUUAAAAAUGAUAUAUGCAAUGUAAAGAAAUGUUCACGUAAUUUAGAAAAGUUUUGUAUCUAUUUAAAAAAAUUCUGCAUCUAUUGGAAAAAUAUUUAACAUGUAUGUGAAUAAUAUUCAAUGUAUAUCAAAAACAACUAACGCAUGUACCGAACUGUAAAUACGGUUGCCCUAUUGAUAACAUCGUUUCUCGCUACNNNNNNNNNNNNNNNNNNNNNNNNNNNNNNNNNNNNNNNNNNNNNNNNNNNNAUGUAUUGGUCGACAUAAUUUUUAUUUUAUUUUAACGGUCAAUGUAAAGUUAAAUAGAGUGAUACCUUUCAAAGAACCUAACAGUCGAUGGUGUUCUUUCCGUGUAAUGAGGAUGCAUAUUCAAUUAACAAUUUGCAGCAAAAAAAUGAGUUUGAUAUCAAGCUAUACGGUGUUCCUAAAAUUUUAAUUCAUAAUUAGUUUGAAAAAUCCGGAUGGCAGUUUUCGGUAUCCGCGGUAACCAUGUUUCUCGCUCCCCUCGCUGAAAUUAAACAUUGGUUUUACGAUAGAAAUGCUAAAACAUCCUUAGAAUUAAUUAAGUGGGAGAGCCCAGGAUACACUAUGUUUACAUACCGUGACGUGUGACAAAUGAAUACACUGUAUCUAAACAUCUAAGAGGCUUCAAAGCCUGUUGAAGCUUCUCUUUUAUUCGUACACAACUACGUUCAAUCCAAACUUGCUAACCCUUCCUUUCCGGUUUACAGGUCUCAUCUUAAAAAUUUCUGAUUUUCGUUAUAUUAGGCUCAUUUUAAGUCGAAUUGAGUUAAAGUGCUUUGAGUCCCACGCCAUAUUUAAUUCAUAUGGAUUAGAGAAAGAAAAUUAAUGGAUAUGCAUGCAUCUUUUUCUACAUUCAUCAUGCAAGUCCAAUGAAAAGAAGGAUGCUACAUUUAUUGCCUCGAAAAUUAAAUAUGUGAGAAAUAUUUCAUUGGCUAGUUAAAACUAGUGCUAUCCUCUCAUAAUUCACCUUGAUUAAUUGGAUUUUAGAUUUGAGUCCUAUAAACUGAAAAGGAGGGAGUAUAUCCCAAGAUGUAGGAAAAUAUCCGCUUAAAGGAAAGUUUGUCUUGCUUGACUGCCAAACCUAAGACAAACCUUUCCACUCAUGGGGCAAUUGGUGUUCGAUGGGAAAGACCAAAAAAGGAUUGACUGAACCAAAAAAUGGACGGAUCUUUCACAUCUGAUGGAACCGUGGUAUGAUCUUGCGUGACCAUUUGGGAAAAAAAUAUUUGAUGUGCAUGCCGCCACCUUGUGGAAAAUAUGAGAUUAACGCUUGCAUCUUGCAGGGGUGCUUUACGUGUUAAUAUAGGCCACCGGUCAGGUUGUUACAAAGAUCUACAAGAUUAGUUGUUGGAUUGUUAUACAAGUUAUAUCUCCAACAAGUAACUUAAACACAAUCAUAUACUGUUUAUAUUACACGGAUAUGUGUUACAUCUUUUAACACACCUAGGGACGUGCCUUCGUGUCAUACAUGUGUUACAUUCGUCUCUUCGUUCAUUUCAUUCUUUUAUUUAUAUUUCUUAAAUUAAAAAUAUCAAAUUUAUAAAAUUUAAGAAAAUGUAUGUAGUGCGUCCAACUAAUGUGUGUGCAACGAUUUGAAAAUGUUACUAAAAAUAUUAUUUUAAACAUUUUUUUAAAUAUGCUCGGGAGUGUCAAAAAAUAUGUUUGGUUUAAAAACAAUUAUUCAUAAAAUGUAAGAAAGUCUUCACAAAAUUGAAAAUAAUGUUCAUACCAUUCAUAAAAAGUACAUGACAUCUAAAAUAAUGUUCAUGUGUUUAAACAUAAUAUUUUUGAGAAGGAGAGGGUGCGUAGAUCUGUGGCAUGGUUAAUGCAACUAUUUGGCAGCAGUGAUUUUCAAUACAACUAAAGUAUUAAAAACUGUGUAGCAACAAUUGUCAUCAUACGAACGAUGACAAUAGUUUGUUAUAAUGAAUGGUAAUACUCCAUGGGCGGUAUUACCAUGCGUCGACUAGAAAUCCUUCAAUCUGUUUCUGAAAUAUGGGCUUUUUGUUUGUAUGAAGUAUGACAUCCUCAGAUGCAACAUCCGUUGCAGUUUAGACUUUAGACUCACACUCAGGGCUUCCAUUUCACUGCCAUUGUCACAACUGGAAACACCACACUUGCCUAGUACCCACGGCACUCGGUAAUGUUCAAAAACAGCUCGGGAAAGAGCUUGCUGACUCCAUCAUAUUGGUUGACUCGACAAAGAGGUGUCAACUGGUCUCCUCCCAGCAAAGGAAGUUGUCCUAGUUUUUUUUUCUCUCGGGUAGUCGCAAAUGUUUUUUGAGUGCAAACCAUAGUUAACUAGGCAAAAUAAAGUGACACAUGGAAUGGUGAUGGCAACAGUCAUGCCAUGUGUUUGAGGUUUUUGCCGAGUUCCUCCGCCGCUAUACUAAUGGACUUUGUCAGCGCGCCACCUGCCUAGUUUGUUUGGUUAGACCUCUUGUGUCGGUACUAACUAAUAUUUUCCUUACACUCCGUAAACUCUUGGCCACUACGACAUCCAUGUGUCCGUCAGGUUUGCCGUACCUUUCUGGGCACAAAGGAAAGCUUUACCGAGUGCAAGACAAAGCAAACUCGUGUCCUAGAAGCUAUCACAUAGUGCCACGUGUCAUGUUUGCCUAGUGUUACACUUAGGAAACACAUCAUAUUUAAUUUUUGAAAAGUCGUGCAAAUAUAGAACAAUUCGUUAAAAUAUAUUUUAUAGUCACAUAUAGAUCAAGAAUCCAUGGAUUGCGAAGCAACCUAUAAUUGGAUGGUUAGGAGGACAGUAGCAUUAUCCCUUGACUUAUUUUAGACUUCCAGCGACGUUUGUUCGGUGAGAAAAGAUGUUUCUGUCGACUGCGAGACAUUUAUAAUGACUUCGUAAAAUCUCAAGAUGCCAUGUGGACUUGGUCUUUUAAAGAUGCUUAUAGGGUAGGAUAUACUCUACGCAUGCGUUCACAAGGACAAGCGUAUGCAAAGGCGUAGCUAGGCCCCGUGCUACCAGGGCUGUGGCUUGAGGCAUGCCGGCUUGUUGAUUGUAGCUGCAUGAUCUAUGUUUGAUACUCCCUCCGUUCCAAAAUUCUUAUCUUAGAUUUAUUUAAAUGUGAAUGUAUCUAGUCAAAUUUUAGUAUUUAGAUACAUCCAUUUCAAGACAAAACUAAGACAAAAAAUUUGAGACGGAGGGAGUAGUAUUUACUACUGUAGCAAUGAUGUUCGCUUAUGGCUAGUCUCCGAGUGUAUGCUUGUGUAUGUGAAUCAAUUUGAUUGUACUGUGUUCAAAAAAGAAACUGAUGGACUGGUGGGUGAAAGUAGCUAGUCAAAAAAGGAAGCAAUGAAGUAUAUAAAUUACAUUGACCUGGAGACUAGCCGGUGAUUGGAAUUAUUUUUCCAACUGACUAUAGAAGAUAUCACAUGGUCAUUCACCAGGAAUUCAUGAGUCACACUCACAUGCAUGCAUUCAAUUGUUUUUGACAAUGUGAACAUCCAAUACUGAGGUAUAAGCAGCUACACCAAGUCUUUGUCUACGUGCUUAUCUGUAUAUGCUUUGGUUGUUGCUUCAUUGAAAGCACGUGUGAGGCUUGUGGUCGGACGCAAUCAAAUCCAGCUCGACCGACUAGCACAUGUACAAGCUCGGCUACAGCCUAUACGUAGAUGUAUUUGAAGACUUACACACCAAGUCUUUGUGUAUAUGUUUUGAUUCUGAAUCUAAUCAUGUUGCUUAAUUACUCAAACCGCGUCUCAAGCCAUUAUUUCUCUUGCGUAGUUAGUUGGGUACUAUUACAAAUGCCCGUGCUUUGCACCGGGCGAAAAAAAGACUUAACCUGCUUUAUGUGUCAUUGUUCAUCAUUUUUAUAUCCAUUUUUAAUAAACGUUCAUAAUAUGGUAUAAAAGUUAAUGUUUUAGCAAAAGAACCCGUGCGUUGCAAUAUGUAUGAAAUAAAUUCGGCUACUUGAUCUAUAGCCGGCGUGCGGGGCGAAAUAAGACGCAUCCCCUCCUCUAGACCCAGUUCGAGCAAGAUGCAUCAUUUUGUCGUACUCUCUCAACUCUUCGUCCAUUCCUCCUCUCUAUCUCAUCAACGGUAUCACGAACAUCAUGACUCAGAGGAAUAUAUUGAUGAUCAGAUAGUCCAUAGGUGAGCCCUAAAUAUCUUUUCCCUUAAGAAAUAGUAUUUGUUUUCAAUAUUUUUUUUAACAAAUCUUCCAAUAUCUCAGUCACACAUCUUUGAAGUACUCUAACUACUACUGUAUUCAUAAUUAAGAUUAAGAUAUGGUAGGCUUAAACAGCAGCCAAGUAAAUUGUAUGCUAGCAGAGAUCGAGAUCUAGAUCUAUGCAAAAAAAAAGAUCGACAUUGUAUCGUUUUAGAAAAGCAGUAGAGCAACACACAUCUAUGCAUACUGUUCAGUGUGUUAUGUAAAAAUUUCAAAUGGCAUGAAACAGCCAAUUCAAGAAUUGAAUUGGCGUCAUAUUGCAAGCUAUACACUCGAGUCGGUCUGACCAUGUUGGUUAUAGUUGCAGAACAAAUAUUUCUUGAGAAUUUGCAAGUAAUUAUUAAGAUUAUAAUCUAGAGAACUACCUUGUCCAACUAAAGAAGAAAGAAUCCCCCUUGCUCAGUUGUAACAUUACGCCACAGAUAGCAUCUGAUCCUAAUCUCACAUUCUCUUACUGGUUAUGGACUUCAGCUGAUCUACUCCUCCACUUAGGCCCCUGUCGCUUCAGACAACUUGGUCUCUUUGGUCGCUUCACACUGAACAUCCAGCAGUUUCCUAAUGAAUUUCAUUCAGUUCCAACUCAAGCAAAUUCGCAACUAAACGAUAUGGGCAAACUCAUUGACAUGUACUUUAAAUUGACAACAAACAACGACAGAAAGGACAACUCAUUAUACCAAUAACACCCAAGCUGGUAAGCCUCAAGUACUCAAAAGGUCUUGCCUUGCUGGUAGUAUUCAGGAACGGGUAUAGGUACAGUGGGAUGUGAGCUGCAAAGGAAAAGGAAGAAGACUCAUUUGUUAACCACUGCUAAUUAAGAUUUACUUAUUUGGUAAGGUCAGAACAGAUGAGGAAAGAUUUUCAACAAUAAACAACGAAAAUAUUUAAGACUUAACAUAGAAACAGUCGCGCUCAGUACCAUUCAAGAACGGGAUCCUGGUCUCAGGGUGUGAAGCAACACACUGCAAUUGAAAAACAAAAGUAAGAUGAAACUGAGGGGAGAGCACGUACUAAAUUCCACCAUGGUCAGGCAUACUACUUUUUUUUCUCUAUAAACAGAGGAAUUGGGAGCAAGAUAUGUGAGCAAUCCGCCACUGCCUCUGGCCGUUGUUGAACCCCUUGCCGGCGCCGCCAGCCGACGAAUCUGACCUUCCCCUCGUUGGAUCCGGUCCACCACGAGCCUCAAGCCACCCUGCUGUCGCGCUCCUUCUCCGCCUUGCCGCCGAAGAGCCUAGCCGCUGCCGCACAGAUUUGCAACAAAAGUCUCCCCGCUCUUUGACCCAACUUGAUCCGGAGAUAGGGGUAGGCGCGCCGACGGGGCAGGCGGUGGUGGCGCGUGGUGAGGCGGGGAGGGACAGGGCAUGGCAGGANNNNNNNNNNNNNNNNNNNNNNNNNNNNNNNNNNNNNNNNNNNNNNNNNNNNNNNNNNNNNNNNNNNNNNNNNNNNNNNNNNNNNNNNNNNNNNNNNNNNNNNNNGUGGUCGGAGAUGGCGGCGGGCUGGAGAUGGGAUCGGGAGGCACGGGUGGAUUCUUUUCUCUCGCACGCACCGGUUCAUUGACUUAUUUGGAGGACCGCGGGUUAAUUAACUAAAAGAGCAAGGGCUUUUUUGAAAAAACGUUGCGGCGUACGGCAGAAGCAGUAGCUGCUUUAUUAUUCAGGAAAGACUAAUACUACGUGCCCCCACACAUACACACAUUUUUCCAUGUGUACUCUAUAUAAACCUCCACAGGGCAGGCUGCAAAACAAAAAACACCCAAUCCCAAACCCAACCCAAGAGGAAGAACACAGGAAGCAAACGUCCAUCGGGCAUAACGAUCCACCACCACAGCCAUGGGUGCCCGCUUGUCCGCCAUGAGCACGGCGACUUCACCUGCGACGGUUGUGGCCGCGGUGGAAGGGGUGCCCGCUACCGCUGCCACGGCUGCGAUUUCGACCUGCAUCUCUCCUGCGCCACCUACAACUUCCCCUGCCAUGGUCACCCGCUCAAGUAUCAGCCGCGCUGUCCUUCAGGUGUCCAG
rnacentral:lncRNA from 1 species